AGUGAUUAUCGGAUUACCGAUCAAAAUAACUGGCUGCGAUGUGCUCGCUUAAAUGCCAUUGAAUGGAUCUUCAAUACAAGAACACUCUUUGGGUUUCAAAUCCAUACGGCAUAUCUGUCUGUAGUAUACUUCGAUAGAUUUCUCUCAAAGAAAUCCAUUGAUCAUGGGAAAUUGUGGGCUAUACAAUUGUUGUCGUUGGCAUGUUUAUCAAUAGCAGCAAAAAUGGAGGAGUGCAGAGUACCUGUUUUAUCAGAAUUUCCCACACAAGAUUACAAGUUCCAAAGUAAAACGAUUCAAAGAAUGGAGCUAUUGGUACUCACUACUUUCGAAUGGAAAAUGACUUGUGUAACGCCCUUCUCUUAUUUAUCUUUCUUCAUCCAUAAAUUUUAUG